UACAGAGGGUGCGAGCGUUGUUCGGAAUUAUUGGGCGUAAAGGGCGCGUAGGCGGUGCGGUAAGUCACCUGUGAAAUCUCCUGGCUCAACUGGGAGCUUGCAGGCGAAACUGCCGUGCUGGAGUGUGGGAGAGGUGCGUGGAAUUCCUGGUGUAGCGGUGAAAUGCGUAGAUAUCAGGAGGAAUACCUGUGGCGAAAGCGGCGCACUGGACCACAACUGACGCUGAGGCGCGAAAGCUAGGGGAGCAAACAGG
rnacentral:rRNA from 1 species